UUCCUCGUGGCCCAAUGGCAAGGCGUUCGCCUACGAUUUGUGUCACCAGCGAAAGAUUCCAGGUUCGACCCCUGGCGGGGAAG